rnacentral:rRNA from 1 species
CGCAUCUGUGCAUGCAGCAUAUCAAUAAGCGGAGGAAAAGAAACUAACAAGGAUUCCCCUAGUAACGGCGAGUGAAGCGGGAAGAGCUCAAAUUUGAAAUCUUAAAGGGUUUCCCUUUACGAAUUGUAGUUUAAAGAAGUGUUUUCUGUUGAGGUUUUGGUAAAAGUUCUUUGGAAUAGGACAUCAUAGAGGGUGAGAAUCCCGUAUUUGACCUUUACUUUCAACUUUGUGAUACACUUUCAAAGAGUCGGAUUGUUUGGGAAUGCAGUCCAAAAUGGGUGGUAAAUUUCAUCUAAAGCUAAAUAUUGGCGAGAGACCGAUAGCGAACAAGUACCGUGAGGGAAAGAUGAAAAGAACUUUGAGAAGAGAGUUAAACAGUACGUGAAAUUGUCAAAAGGGAAGCGUUUGACACCAGUGUUGUUUUUCUGAAAAUCAAUUAAAGAACUGUUUAUGCUAAGCUGUUUAGACUUUAUCAGCUAUCUGUUUAGUUUUGAGCUUUUCUUUAAUGCACUUUUCAGUUAACAAGUCAACAUCAAUUUCUUUUGCUGUAAAAAAGCUUGAGGAAGGUGGCUUGAGAUUCGUCUUAAGUGUUUAUAGCCUCUUGCCUAUGCAGUCGGAGAGAUUGAGGUCUGCAGCGUAGAUCCUUCGGGGCUAAAUGCAUUUGUGCUAAGUUAUAGCAUUUUAUAGACAACUUGUUGACUAUGAUUUGUCUUGUAGCUUACUCGCUUAUGUUAUUUUACCUACGCUUAGGAUGUUGACAGCAGUAUAGACUGU